rnacentral:rRNA from 1 species
UACAGAGGUGGCGAGCGUUAUUCGGAAUCAUUGGGCGUAAAGGGCGCGUAGGCGGCCAAGCAAGUCCUGGGUGAAAUCCCUCGGCUCAACCGAGGAACUGCCUCGGAAACUGCAUGGCUUGAGGACGGGAGAGGGUAGCGGAAUUCCCAGUGUAGCGGUGAAAUGCGUAGAUAUUGGGAGGAACACCGGUGGCGAAGGCGGCUGCCUGGACCGGUUCUGACGCUGAUGCGCGAAAGCGUGGGGAGCAAACAGG